rnacentral:rRNA from 1 species
GAUGAACGCUAGCUACAGGCUUAACACAUGCAAGUCGAGGGACCGGCGCACGGGUGAGUAACACGUAUCCAACCUGCCCUUUACUCGGGGAUAGCCUUUCGAAAGAAAGAUUAAUACCCGAUAUAAAGGAUGGGGAUGCGUUCCAUUAGGUUGUUGGUGAGGUAACGGCUCACCAAGCCUUCGAUGGAGAGGGGUUCUGAGAGGAAGGUCCCCGACAUUGGAACUGAGACACGGUCCAAACUCCGACGGGAGGCAGCAGAGAAGAAUAUUAGUCAAUGAGCGCUGGCCUUAACCAGCCAAGUGGCGUGAAGGAUGAAGGCUUAUGGGUCGUAAACUUCUUUUAUAUAAGGAUAUGGAUUAUAUGAAUAAGGAUCGGCUAACUCCGUGCCAGCAGCCGCGGUAAUUC